rnacentral:rRNA from 1 species
AUUGAACGCUGGCGGCAGGCCUAACACAUGCAAGUCGAGCGGAUGAAGGGAGCUUGCUCCUGGAUUCAGCGGCGGACGGGUGAGUAAUGCCUAGGAAUCUGCCUGGUAGUGGGGGAUAACGUCCGGAAACGGGCGCUAAUACCGCAUACGUCCUGAGGGAGAAAGUGGGGGAUCUUCGGACCUCACGCUAUCAGAUGAGCCUAGGUCGGAUUAGCUAGUUGGUGGGGUAAAGGCCUACCAAGGCGACGAUCCGUAACUGGUCUGAGAGGAUGAUCAGUCACACUGGAACGGAGACACGGUCCAGACUCCUACGGGAGGCAGCAGUGGGGAAUAGUGGACAAUGGGCGAAAGCCUGAUCCAGCCAGGCCGCGUGUGUGAAGAAGGUCUUCGGAUUGUAAAGCACUUUAAGUUGGGAGGAAGGGCAGUAAGUUAAUACCUUGCUGUUUUGACGUUACCAACAGAAUAAGCACCGGCUAACUUCGUG